GACAGAGGUGGCAAGCGUUGUUCGGAAUCAUUGGGCUUAAAGCGUGUGUAGGCGGCGGCGUAAGUGUCGAGUGAAAUGCCAGUGCUCAACGCUGGAACGGCUCGGCAUACUGCGUCGCUUGAGGUCGGUAGAGGCGCCUGGAACUCUAGGUGGAGCGGUGAAAUGCGUAGAUAUCUAGAGGAACGCCUGAGGCGAAAGCGGGGCGCUGGGCCGAUUCUGACGCUGAGACACGAAAGCGUGGGGAGCAAACAGG
rnacentral:rRNA from 1 species